AUUUAUGUACGUAACAAUAAUUAUAAAUAUUUAAUUAAAUAAGUAGCUUUAUAAUUUUAUUGGUGUUAUUUAUGAAAUUUGUAAAAUAAAAAUUAUUCAUCAACUUAAAACUAAACUGUAUUAUAUUGUAUUUUGAUAAUCCACUUCGUAUGAGUAAUUAUGUUUAGUAUUACUGAUUCAGUAUUAUCGGAGCUCACAAAUAUCGAUAAAAUCUCAUUUUUAAAGAAUUUUCUAGAACUAAAUGAUAGUAAACAAAUAUAAUUAUCCCGUUUAUUGUUUAAAAGUUGAUUGAUUAUUUAAUACAUUCAAGGUCUAAAGUAGAGUACAUGCCACAUGUGCACAUCAUCACAAUAUAAAUCAAUACAAAUGAAUACUCAAUAAAAUUUAAUUUAACAUAAAAAAACGCUUGAGCUUUCUACAAAAUGUAAUGUUUAAUAAACGUAUAAGGCAUCAUAAAAUAAGGCAUUAGCAGAAAUUACAGAUUGAAAUUAAAAAUUUGUCUCUUAAUGGAUUCAGUGUUUUGAUAUAACAUUGCUUGAUUCUAAGCAUUUUAAAUUUUAAUAUUUUAUUUUAUUAGUUAAUUAUCAUAAAAAAAUAACAAACCAAUUUAAAAAAGUUUAUCAUUAUAUAAUUUAUUCUUAUAUAUUAUAUAGCAACUGUAAUUUGAUUAUUAAUUUUUAAUUAUGUAUUAUUUUACAGAUAGUAAGUACCUAUUAUUGUUUAUAAUUUUUAUUAUGAUGCUAAACGAAUAUAAUUAUCUCGUUUAUUGUUUAAAAGUUGAUUGAUUAUUUAAUACAUUCAAGGUCUAAAGUAGAGUACAUGCCACAUGUGCACAUCAUCACAAUAUAAAUCAAUACAAAUGAAUACUCAAUAAAAUUUAAUUUAACAUAAAAAAACGGUUGAGCUUUCUACAAAAUGUAAUGUUUAAUAAACGUAUAAGGCAUCAUAAAAUAAGGCAUUAACAGAAAUUACAGAUUGAAAUUAAAAAUUUGUCUCUUAAUGGAUUCAGUGUUUUGAUAUAACAUUGCUUGAUUCUAAGCAUUUUAAAUUUUAAUAUUUUAUUUUAUUAGUUAAUUAUCAUAAAAAAAUAACAAACCAAUUUAAAAAAGUUUAUCAUUAUAUAAUUUAUUCUUAUAUAUUAUAUAGCAACUGUAAUUUGAUUAUUAAUUUUUAAUUAUGUAUUAUUUUACAGAUAGUAAGUACCUAUUAUUGUUUAUAAUUUUUAUUAUGAUGCUAAACGAAUAUAAUUAUCUCGUUUAUUGUUUUAAAGUUGAUUGAUUAUUAAAUACAUUCAAGGUCUAAAGUAGAGUACAUGUCACAUGUGUACAUUAUCACAAUAUAAAUCAAUACAAAUAAAUACUCAAUAAAAUUUAAUUUAACAUAAAAAAACGCUUGAGCUUUCUACAAAAUGUAAUGUAUAAUAAACGUAUAAGGGAUUAUAAAAUAAGGCAUUAACAGAAAUUACAGAUUGAAAUUAAAAAUUUGUCUCUUAAUGAAUUCAGUAUUUUGAUUCUAAGCAUUUUAAAUUUUAAUAUUUUAUUUUAUUAGUUAAUUAUCAUAAAAAAAUAACAAACCAAUUUAAAAAAGUUUAUCAUUAUAUAAUUUAUUCUUAUAUAUUAUGUAGCAACUGUAAUUUGAUUAUUAAUUUUUAAUUAUGUAUUAUUUUGCAGAUGGUAUGUACCUAUUAUUUCUUGCUUUUCAUUUUAUUAAUUUAUAUAAUUUAAGUUUUUCUUUUUAAAAAUUCUUUUGUAAUCAAUUAAAAACUUUAGAAUAGCAACUUUUUUAAGUCCGUAUCACUCGUAAGACUUUAUCUUUUAGUCGAGUGUGUCAUUUUCCAAAUUAUUAUUAUCAAGUCAACUACACUGUGACUUCAUUUAUAAUGUGUUCUUGGUUUAGUUUUUCAUUGUAAGUCUGAUAAAGUUUUCAAUGUGGUUUUAUAUGCGAUGAACAUUUUUACUAUCUACACUUACCUAUUUAUUAUGUAUGUUACUUAUAUUUUUUGUCUUUUUACUUAAAAAUGUUUCGAUUCUUCAUAAUUUUUGACAAUUUUAUCUAAUAAGUCAGAGCUUAAAAAUAAUAUUACCUUUUGUUUAUAUUAAGUGUAACGUAACUUAAUCUUUGAAAGUAGUAAACGAUAUAAUAAAAAUAAGUAAUAUAUUAAUAUACUAUGAAAUCAGAAAUUACAUAGAAAUUUGUUAAGAACUAUUUAAACGAUUGGCUAUAUUUUAUAAUUUAUUCAUAUGAAUAUUAUAUAUAUCUUAUACUAAUCAAUUAUUAUUAUCGGUUGUUAUUUUUUUUUUUUUAGUUAACCUAUGUAAGUUGUGUAUAUUUUUAGCAACAAGUUUAUUGUAUACAAUAAUAUACCUACCUGAAUAAUUUUACUUUUUGAGUAUUCAACUUAAGAUGUCAAUGAUUAAAUGUUAUUAAACCGUGGUUUGAAUUUUUUUUUUAAGUGGUUAUAAUCGUUUUUACAUUAUUUCUUAAAAAAGACGUUAGCUUCCAUAUAUUUUGUUUUAUCAAGUAUCGAUCUCUUUAUAGUUUGUUAGUAUUGAGCUGUAGAUUUGUUAGACCGGAACUAUACACUGUGUAUUACGCUGCGUUUUCCGUCGUAUUAAAAAUGCGUUGAUUUAUAUUUGAAUAGCUAUACGCUACGGAUGUAAUAUGUCGCAUUUUCAUCCGCUGCGGAAAACGUAAUCCGGCUUGCGUUUUGAUUGGCGAACGCCCCGAAGUAAUAAAAAAACGGCGUAUUACGUCCGUCGUAUUUAUAGCUACUUUGAUAUAAACCAAUCCAUUUUUAAUUCUACAGAAAACGCCGCGGAAUACGCAGCGUUCGAAAAGCGACAGAAUACGGCGUGUAGGCGUGUAUAGGUCCGGCCUUAAAAACCAUCCUAUAUAAUCUAUUAUUUUUUAUUGUUUUCAUUUUGUACAUAUAAAUCACAUCAUUAGUCUUCUAAUAAAUGUCGUGUAAUACUAUAAUAUGAGUAUAUGAUCUACACAUUCAUUUCGCCUUCUUACUAUAUUAUUCCAUAGUUAUUAGUUUGUCUUUUAGCCAAUGGCGUAGAUACGAUUUUUAGUUUGCAUUUUUAUUAUGUUCUAACCGUCAUAUAAAAAAAUUUGGCUUUUUUGGGGGAGAGGUGGAAACCCCUUACAUCCUCCCCCCGUAAAUACGCCACUACUUUUAACAUAGGUAACAAUCAUUAAUAUUAACAUCUACUUUUAAACUUUUAUUUUAGCGGAUGGUUGUAAGUAAAUAGUUUUAUUCUUUUAUUAAUUUCAAUAAAUAUUUGCGUUGUAUAAAGUAAAAAAUGAAUAUAUAUUCCCAACAAUAUUUUUACUAAAUUUUAAAAUCGAAUAUCGAUAAUAUAGCGUUCAUAAAUUGUUUUCCUAAAUCAAUUACCUUCUAUUGUGUUGGGUUAAACACAAUGCAUGCAUUAUAACUGCAGGUAAUUGGUUUGUACAUUAAAACUUGUGAUUAAAUAAAUUGUUCCAUACUAUAAGAAAAUUGAUAGCGUAGUUCAACGUUUGUACAUUUGUCAUGAUACCUAUCCGGAUUAAACUGCAAGCUUGGAGAUCACUUUUUAGUUUUUCACACAUUGAGUGUUUAACAUGAGUCAUCAAUCUUUGUAGCACUUUUGCACACUGAAUUUUUGACAAAUCAUGUAACAAGUAGCGGCUAUAGUGAGCCUAUAUGACGUAUUAAAUACUAGGACUAGGCUAUGUGAAUCCAAACGUCCAACAAUACAUAUUUUGAACAUUCGUUAAUAACAAUAUGGUUGAAUUACGUAGUUACCGAACUUAUUAUAGUUUAAACCCCUUAAUCCUUAUACUGAAACUAUGUAGCUAACUAUUCUUCAUUUAGUCCUUAUUCGAUUCAAGACAAUUUUUAAAAAGUGAUCAUGAUACAGUUUGGUUAAUAUUUGUAGAAUUUUGGGUAAGUUAGUUUAUUUUGGUCAAUCGUAAUACGGAAAAGUAAUUCAAGAUUUCUAGAAAUUAUUGCCAACCCUAUGCAAUAUGCAUCUACCUCUGAUGUACAAUAAGUUUCGAGAGUAUCUACUUUUUUAUUAAAUAGGGCAUUGUAAUGGACAACCGUAGUAUAACUUAUAAAGAUUGCAGUAAUUUAGUUUUUUAAUUAUUAUUAGAAAAUCUGGAAAUUGACAUCAGUUGUGUAUUAAUAAUAUAAAUAAUUACACAAACAUAAAUAAAUAAUAAAUACUAUGAAAACUGUAUGACUAUUACAAGAUACUAACAUAAAUACUCGUAUUUAUAUUAAAGAAACAGAUAUCUUAAAUAUCGAUGAUCAUUAAUUUUAUUUUAUUAAAACUGUAAAAUGAUUUAAAAGUUUGAUAGUAGUAGGUAUGCAAUGCAUUUUUGAGCGACCACAAAAUAUUUUGUUGUAUCUUUUGAACAAUAACGAUGCGAAAAUGAAAUUCAAAAAGUGCAUUAUGAAAAAAGUAGUUAAUGAUUCACUUAUAAAAUAUAAAAAGAUUAUUAUCAACUAUAACGGUGUGCAAACGAUUCGCUCAUAUUAUAAGUCACAUUUGAAUAUUGUUGUAAAAUACUAAAUAAUAUUAUUUAAUAUUUUGUAUAGAAACAAUAUUUGAGUACUUUAAUUUUUAGACUGUAUAAUUUAAUCAUAAUGUUUAUAAUUGUUUAUUAAUUAAUAUGUUUAUUAUAUUUUCUCUAGCAAAAAUGAAAAAAGCCGUGUAUUGUAUUGCCCAAGAUUUCGUCGAAUACCUCCAAUCAGAUGGAAAAACGAAAACUGAACCGAUUACGGCGUUCGUUGAAGCUAAAAUUGUUGACGGAGAUUACUCAUAUGUGAAGAAGAUGUUCACUGCUACUACAGUUUAAAAUUAAUCUAUUUAAUAUUUUGUUUGACUAUUGUCUAUUUUAUUAUAAAAUAUAAUUUAAAAUUUAAAUUGUCUAAUAGAAUAACAUAUUAAAUUUAUUAUAGUUAUGAAAAUAAUACUGGAAGUAUAUAAUAUCUUAUUUUUUAUUUCAUAUUUAUACUUUCAUGUUAUAACGUACAAUUAUAGUAUAUUUCUUAUUUGAUAAAUAAAUAAUAAUAAUCUUGAUAUUAAA